rnacentral:lncRNA from 1 species
GCAGGGAUAUAUAUAUAUAUUUUUUAAGAUUUUAUUCAUGAGAGAGAAGUAGAGACACAGAGGGAGAAGCAGGCUCCCUGCGGGGAGCCCGAUGGUGGGACUCGAUCCCGGGACCCUGGGAUCACGCCCUGAGCCGAAGGCAGAUGCUCAACCUCUGAGCCAUACUAGGUGCUCAACGAACACUUCUAUGUAGAAAUGCCUCUUUGAUUGCUCGUGCUCUCAACCCUGGUGUUGACCUUGACUUCUCCCUCUUUCAGCUUCUCCAGAAAUGCUGUCAGCAGUUCCUUCUAAGAGCAUCAAAGUCUUGCCAUCCCAACCCAGGCCUCCUGGGAGCUCCUGCUUCGUCUCCGCGGCCACCUCCCUCGGGAGCCCUCACCCGCUGGGGGCCGGAUUAUCCCCUGCUGCGGGGCUGCCCUGUGCACCGUGGGACAUGGAGUGGGACCCCCGGAGUCCAGGGCCCCCAGCCACUGCCUGAUGUCCCGGGGCCUUGCCGGGAAGCCCUGCCACCAGAGCCACCUGAAGCCUGAGAUGCAUGACGCCCCUCCGCUGCACGGGACUCUCUGGGGACCCCUACCCCGUGGCCUCCCGAGCCUGCCUCGGACUGGACUCCCUCUGCUCACUCCCCCCUGCCCGUCCAGGGUCAUGCAGCUCCCCCUGAACGUUCUCUGCUGGCUGUCUCUGUGCCCAGAGAUGCCCCACGGCCCUUCAGGGCUCCCCCAGCUCCGUAUGUGCUCCCCUGGGUGCCUCCACCUGGACCUGGCGCUUCCAGGCCACGACUAGGGACCCCGUCCCAGCCACUUAACUCUGGAGGGGCAGGGGAACAGCAGGUGAGGGAGGUGGCCCGAGGGAAGACCGUUCCCCGCUGGGGACUGCUCCUAGGACCCUGCACAAGGCCUGACCUGUCCGGUAGCUGCUUGCCCAAAGGCUGCCCCUCCGAGGGAGCCCCCAGCGGUGGGGGGAAGGCAGUUUCGUACCCCGACUCUGCUGUUCGCUUGCUUGGUCCUCCUAGGUGCAGCUUCCCACGGGCGGGUGAUGGCACCUUGCCUGCAGGUGCAAGAGGCAGCGACGCCCAGGCAGCGAGGAAGGAGAAAGCAUGUGAACCUCCUCUGGGCUCUAAGGUCCACCCCCAAGCCUCCAUGGUGAUCUUCUAG